UACCAAUCUUGCGCUGUCGCGGAGCACAUUGCAAUCCUCCACCGAAGGUACCGGAUAUUCCUCCCGAGCUGUGGAUGGGUCCGACGGAAGCGGCAUUUACAACUCUAAUUCAUGCACACAUACAACAACCCAGACCAACCCAUGGUGGCGGGUUGAUCUGGGCAGUACCCGAACCAUCUUUCUUGUCAAUGUGUUCAACCGUGUCGACUGCUGCAGCGAUAGGCUAAACCCUUUCUAUGUGCACGUUGGUGGCAGUCCGACCGUAACCAGUAAUCCAAAUUGCGGCGGCCAACGGUCCGUCGUGUCAGGGUCCCUUCAGACUGUGUCGUGCGACGGUCAGCAGGGCCGGUACGUCGGGGUAGCUCUGCAAGGAACCAGCCGCAUCCUGACCCUGUGCGAGGUGAAAGUCUUCGGCUUCUAGGACCUCAGCUGCCAAGUUCUUCAAGACUGAAGCAACUGGAGCAAGACCCAAUAUGGAACCCUGUUUGUUUACUCGUUUAUCUCAUUUCUAGGACAUAGAAAUCAGUGUCUAUCAAAUUAAAAAUUUAUGUAGCAGAACACCCUGCAUGCUCGCGUCGACAACUACACAAUAGAAUGUUUUUCUUUCUCACCUCUCUUCUCCAGAUAUUUCUGUCGGCGUCGUUUAAUUGUUUAAAACACAUUACCGAGAAAUCCUAGAAAUGAGAUAAAUGUAGGAGAUAAAUAAUCCAUUGAGUUUGAUACAACCUUUACUUCAUGAAUUUCACCAGAGUAAACUUUCACCGUUUGGACAAGUACAGAGAUUCCCAUGCACAAAAAAGCGUCUUUUACUCAAGUGUCAAGAUUAAAGUAAAGAGGACUAGAAGAUGUUAGACUGUUCAAAGAACUGUUAGAUUUAAUUGGAAUCACCAAACAUAAGCAAAGUAUUGCCAGUUCCAGUGUCCAAAAUGAUAUGAUUUAAUCUAAAAAUGGUCCCUAAAACAUUAUAUUGUAGGGAAAGGGAAUACUUAUCAAUUCAAAAUCCCGAUGACAGUUCUUAUCAAGCCUUGUGUCCGACAUUGGGUUGUUUCAAAUUCGAUUGGUACGACGGCAACUGCAAUACAAUGUUGGGACAGCCGUACACAAGGACAUCUCUUUUUUUUGGUUAUUUUUCAAUAUUGGAGCCUUUUAAAAUUUAACAGUCGACGAUAUCUGGAUGCCAACUGUGUGCGAAGUUACUACCAAUGUAACUCUAUCAAAGAAUCAGACAAGACAAAAUCUUUAUUGUUUUUGCGUGUACAUCGGGUCCCAGCAUUGUAUUUAGAAAGAAAUAUAUAUGGUACGAUAUUAGCCCGGUCGUAGCAGGUUCAUGCCUUGGGUAACUUGGCACGGGCGUUCUUACUUAUCAUCAUGUACUGAGCUACACAUCCGUAAGCAGUAAGCCUAGCCUGUUCAUGGUUUGAACUGCGCAUGAACCAGGUCACCGGUGAUAACACAUAGCUUGUAAACAGUUCUUGUCAAGACCAUGUUUGAUACCAUGCCCAGACGUGUUUUGUUUAUGUCUCAGGGGCCACUGCGUAUGCGCACUUAAAACCACGAAUCAGCUUAUACUACCCAAUGGCUUGGUUACCUUGUUAUGACAUGGGUUUUAAGAUGUUUUCAUUCUAUUAUGGCUCAAUGAUUUAAUGUAAUCAAUUCACUGAAUAUAAAUUAAAGUACUAGUUGGCAUCAUGGUUACUCAAUGACGGCAGUUGUCUGAUAUCCCGUCACCAUGUUGCCCGUUUGUAGCACUCAGGUCUACUUGUGUUUCAACCAUCAUAAUUACGGAAUCAUAACAUCACAGAUAUGCCAGCUAACACAUUAUGAAGGUGACAGUCAGAUUAUGAAUGAAACCAAUGCUUUUUGCUUAAUAGAAAGAGACAUUUUGCUUGAUAAAAAAACUUCAGUUUGAGACGUUUUGAUGGUUGAGAUGCCGGUAUUUUACACCUGAUAAGGAUUAUGGAUAGCCAAGAUGUUAUUUGUUGUUAAA